AGCACAGUAGUUGCAGUCUGUUGCAGGCCUUCAACAGCCUUCACUCAUUGAUGCAUAUUGUCCUUAAAUGGAACAGCCAUGGCAGCUCUAAGAGCUAAAGUUACAGGCUGUUGGAAAGUCAUUGCACUCCUAAGUGUAUUGUCACCUCGUGCGUCCCUCACCUCAGAUGGAGAUCUGCAGCUCAGGCUGCAGAGGAGCACUGGGCCGAACACCACCGUGCCUCUCAAACAGAGCAAUUUCCUCCAGCACUCAGCAGCCCUGAGCCUGGCUGAGACGGAGAGAAGGAGAUGGAGAGAAUGUGAAUCUGGGAGGGAAAGGACACCAGAGCCUCUGGAGUGGAGCACUUGGAUGGGUUUCACACAUACUGAAAUCAUAAAGCAUGAAUAGGCCAUUUAUAAAACUGCUGUACUAUG